AGGUCGACAGAAUAUGGAGGACAAAGGGACACCAUGCCACAUUGCUACAAUUUCCACAUGUAGGCCAAAAAUUUGCCACUGAAAGCUGCAUCAGUCUGUUGGGAAACACGUUAGCCAAUAAACUGAAGUAAGAAGAUUAUCCCAGCUACCCAAAGACCUGAACGCGUUAUUCCGUCUUAAACAAAGCAAGACGACUAUGCAGAGACUCCAACAUUUAACUAUAGUAUACAAGAUCGAAGUGUCCACAGCUAAGACGCCAGCGUUCAUGUCAAGAUUUUUCUCGCUUGCUGAAGUUUGUCUUUUAGUUCAUAUGCAGGGUUGACAUUUUAUAUGGAAUAUACUGUUUGCUCUGGGUUGUAAUAUUCUGAAUCAAAACGUGUAUCAAAGGAAAAGUUGCACUUGAUAAUUAGAAAGAAAAGAAAAAACAUUUGGGGUAAAUCUCGCUAGGCGUCAACCCUACAUGUUGUUUACUUAAUAUAUGUUACAAUACUUAACAGCGUUGUAUUACAGUACUCUUUCCGCACACUGCGUUUUUCACUGUAGUUCGUCCACACAUUUCUUUAUAACAUCCUUUUCUCAAAACCGAAACUACACUUGUAGUUCUUAUUUUACAGAAAUAAUGUUGAUGAAAUAAAGGAAAGGUUAACUAAAUCAUUUGAAUCAACGUGUCAUAAGGUUAGAUAUUUUUUGUCUACUGAGUAAAUAUCUCGCAAAACUAAUUUAAAUUAUCUUUCCCAAUUACAACAUAAAAAACGAUGAAACCUCUUGCAUAGAUCACCCCAUGUCAGUAUUUUCCCUCUGUAACGUCUUCUUUAAGUGAUGCAUGAAAAUGAAACUGACAAAGUAUUUGUUGUAAAAUUAUCAAUUAGUGAUAUCUAGCUAGAGUACUGUGCAUGAACGACCGGUUCGGUAUUCCCCAUAAACCAAUAGAUGGAAUUUUAUAGAAUGCUAACUUUUGUCAAUCCUCUCCAAAUAGAAAAUUUAAAAAUUCGUAGCAAACGAGCAAAAAGUUUUUUUGUUUAAUUAUGAAAAUGUUUACUGUUAUAUUUGGUGCACUAUUGUUUAACAGACUUUUGAUAUUUCGGUAUCAUUCUUACCACUGGAUUUGGACAAAAGUGUGCUUCAGUUGAAUAUAUGAUCAAUAAGAAGGCAAUAUAUACUAGUGUCAACUUCAAGUAUCAAAAGGAUUAGUAUUUUGAGUAGCAAAUUUCAAACUACAUACAAUCUCCAACGUUUUAUUUGCCGGUUAUGAAGCUCUUUAUUUUAUUCUGUAUUUCGAAGUGUCAUGUUGUAAUGGUAAUUGCAUUUGCCAUUUAGGUUUUUCAAAAUUGAUAUACUCUGUAUUUGUCGGCAUU